rnacentral:lncRNA from 1 species
GCACAGUAGUGUGUGUGCGUUCACUCUCUGGGUUUGGCCCAAGCAGCAUUCACCUCUGUUAUAGUCAAGGACAGAUAAGAGCUAUGCAGAUUGCGUGUCAGGACCUCGGCGGCAAGGGGGAAGCUCCGCGUCUGGAGUUCGGGAUGCUCUUUGCGAGGAGAGGAGGGACAUGUGGCUACCUCGUAGCUGACAAUUACGUGCUGCGUACCCGAGCCCGAGCGCUGGAGAACGGGUGAUCGCGC